rnacentral:rRNA from 1 species
GAGGUUCGAAGACGAUCAGAUACCGCCUUAGUUCUAACCAUAAACGAUGCCAGCCAGCGAUCCGGCUGUGUUCCUCAAAUGACACGCCGGGCAGCUUCCGGGAAACCAAAGCUUUUGGGUUCCGGGGGAAGUAUGGUUGCAAAGCUGAAACUUAAAGGAAUUGACGGAAGGGCACCACCAGGAUUGGAGCCUGCGGCUUAAUUUGACUCAACACGCGAAAACUCACCCGGCCCGGACACAGGAAGGAUUGACAGAUUAAGAGCUCUUUCUUGAUUCUGUGGGUGGUGGUGCAUGGCCGUUCUUAGUUGGUGGAGCGAUUUGUCUGGUUAAUUCCGUUAACGAACGAGACUCUAGCCUACUAAAUAGACGUUCCGAUCCUUCGUGUCGGACGUUCUUCUUAGAGGGACAGGCGGCGUUUAGCCGCACGAGACAGAGCAAUAACAGGUCUGUGAUGCCCUUAGAUGUCCGGGGCCGCACGCGCGCUACAUUGAAGGAAUCAUCGUGUGCUUUCCCUGUCCGAAAGGAUCGGGUAACCCGUUGAACCUCCUUCGUGCUGGGGAUUGGCGAUUGUAACUGUCCGCCAUGAACGAGGAAUUCCCAGUAAGCACGAGUCAUCAGCUCGUGUUGAUUACGUCCCUGCCCUUUGUACACACCGCCCGUCGCUACUACCGAUUGAAUGAUUUAGUGAGGUCUUCGGACUGGCGCUCGGAUUGGCCCUCGGGUCGAGCCGACGUGCCGGAAAGAUGACCAAACUUGAUCAUUUAGAGGAAGUA